GAUGAACGCUGGCGGCGUGCCUAAUACAUGCAAGUCGAGCGAACAGACGCGGAGCUUGCUCCUUUGACGUUAGCGGCGGACGGGUGAGUAACACGUAGGUAACCUACCUAUAAGACUGGGAUAACUUCGGGAAACCGGAGCUAAUACAGGAUAAUAUUUCGAACCGCAUGUUUCGAUAGUGAAAGAUGGCUUUGCUAUCACUUAUAGAUGGACUUGCGCCGUAUUAGCUAGUUGGUAAGGUAACGGCUUACCAAGGCAACGAUACGUAGCCGACCUGAAAGGGUGAUCGGCCACACGAGAACUGAGACACGGUCCAUACUCCUACGGGAGGCAGCAGUAGGGAAUCUGCCGCAAAGGGCGAAAGCCUGACGGAGCAACGCCGCGUGAGUGAUGAAGGUCUUCGGAUCGUAAAACUCUGUUAUUAGGGAAGAACAAACUUGUAAGUAACUGUGCACGUCUUGACGGUACCUAAUCAGAAAGCCACGGCUAACUACGUG
rnacentral:rRNA from 1 species